AGGGGGAAUAGCGUUUUGUUUCUUUUUUCUUUAAUUUGUGUCCUUUUAUUCUUUGACGUUUUGUUGUUAUUUAGCUGUAUUGCUCUAAAAGAUCUGACUGCCUUGCUCUUCAGUGCUUGCUCUUUAUCGUUAACGUUCAUGCCGCUCUCCCCUCACGCGGCGCUAUUUUGACAGUCGGGGUCGCAGUGAACCAACUCAAGCUAGCAGCACCAUUAUAUUAGCAUCGACACAACUUGAAGGAUUCUACACACGGACUCAAGACGCAAAACCAGCGAAACGGGCUCCUAACUGGAGGACAGACCAUGCUGCUGCACUGAGCCCGAGGAAAAGAAAAGAGAGAGGCCUC